CGGACGGGUGAGUAAUGCAUAGGAAUCUACCCAGCAGUGGGGGAUAUCUUGAGAAAUUCAAGUUAAUACCGCAUAUGUCCUACGGGGCAAAGCAGGGGACCUUCGGGCCUUGCGCUAUUGGAUGAGCCUAUGUCGGAUUAGCUAGUUGGUAGGGUAAAAGCCUACCAAGGCAACGAUCCGUAGCUGGUUUGAGAGGAUGAUCAGCCACACUGGGACUGAGACACGGCCCAG
rnacentral:rRNA from 1 species